UACGAAGGGGGCUAGCGUUGCUCGGAAUUACUGGGCGUAAAGCGUGCGUAGGCGGUUUGUUAAGUCUGCUGUGAAAUCCCCGGGCUCAACCUGGGAAUGGCAGUUGAGACUGGCAGGCUGGAGUGUGGCAGAGGGGGGUAGAAUUCCACGUGUAGCAGUGAAAUGCGUAGAGAUGUGGAGGAAUACCGAUGGCGAAGGCAGCACCCUGGGAUAACACUGACGCUCAUGCACGAAAGCGUGGGGAGCAAACAGG
rnacentral:rRNA from 1 species